GACAAGGUGGCUGAAUUUUAGGCUAUAAAUUGUAAAUUUAUAUAUGAGUUAAUAUCUCUCUUGUUA
rnacentral:tRNA from 1 species